AUUUUAGCAUAUUUGGUCAGUGGCCAAGAGUGAAUAACUCCUGCACGUGCAUGGGAAAUUCUUGAAAAACCACCGCGUUUGCAUCAAGAUCCUUAAGUGGAACUUCUAUAAAUCUAUCAGGGGCUCUUUCCAAUGGGAUGGCAUCUUCGACGAUUUGACAACAGACAGGGCAAUAACUGGAGCAUUCUGUUGAAUCACCAGCGAAGCUUAUGUAUUUUUUCCUGCUUGACCCGUUCAACACAUUGCUGAAAAUACUUCUAUAGGUGGGCAAUACCAGCAAACAGGAGAGGUUUUAUACAAUCAGACCUCAUUUACCUUUUUUUGUCCUUGCUCCAUACAGGAUCCGAGGGUGCACUUGAAUUUACAAAUCCACACACUUAAGACACGCCUUAGAAAGAUUUUUGGCCAAAAAGGGAAACAUACUGAAAAAGCGAAAACACCAGAAUAAUAGCAGACUAAUAUCUCUGUAGCGAGAUACAAAAACUUUACAAUGUGUAAUAUAACAAACAAUACUGUCAAUUGGAAUGAUUUGAAACUUAACUCACUUCAGAAAAACAAAGGCUUAAACUUGGUAGUCACGCCCACAAAUGUGAAGAUAUACACAACAAUACAAUCGUUUGCUGAAUUCAAAAGAAAAAUGAUCCUACAAGUCCACUCCAUAGAUAGCAAAAAUGAUACAAUCGCCUCACCAUUUAGGCAGAAACCUGAACCUGAAUCUGUUUGAAACUGUGAUUUCUUCCAUCUAUGGAGUUGUAUAAAUAGACAGAUCGUUUAAACAGUCGCUUAUAGGCUGUUGCUGUUGUUUUUGUUCAAUUAUCGAUUUUGUUGCAUGUCACGUGACAGUUACAUACCAGCAUUGCAUCAGACAUUGUACUUUGUGUCAGGUGCAUGUACAUUGUGUCAGCCAUUUUUCUAUCGCUUCCCCGAUUGGCCAGGAACAUGAAAUACAUUUCUAUUAACCAUAUUUAGUAAAGAUAUAUUAUUUCCCUAAUUUUAACCUUUGCCCUUAGUUAUUCAUAUAUAUAUCGUGUAGCAUAGUUUUUAGAGACACUCGGCGAAAACUGUAGACGAAUGAAGUUGUUGUCAAAAUCAUUUGCUGUUUUAGACGAGAUGUGUCUUUAUUUGUCUGCUCAAGGUCAGAAGUUAAUUCUACUUAUUAUUUAGAAUUCAUGCCUUUAUGUUAGUUCAAACUAGUGAUUAAACAUUUGGUUACCCUGUGCGAGGAAGACAAUUGAACGAGAAAACUUUUUAAAUGCAAUAACUUUUUCAGUAUUCAAGACAUCUUAGCAGGUUAGAAAUUAUUUUUAGUCGUUUAAUGAUCAGUAUUCACGUUUUAUCAAAGAUCAAAGCCGUUUUUCUUCAAGUAGAGAGAAUUGAGAGUGAACUUUUUAUACUUGCCUUACAACGAGUAAAUUCAGUUUAUUAUGCUUGCAAAGAGUGAACUUUGUUUGUUGUGUUGCAUCAAAGUUUGUUUGAACAACCCCCAUUUAAUGGCCUCCCAAACGAAGAUGUAAACAAGUGGCUGGGAGAAUUCAAUAGACUUUCAAAAUUUUACAGUUCGUCAAAUGUUGGAGCCCAAAAUUUGUACUUUGGCAAGGACUAAACGAGCCUUUAUCAGUCUACACAGAGGAUAUAAUAAGAAAAUGCCAACGUCUUUCUUUUUCGGACAUGGAGAUGAUGAACUUAUUUAUCUAUGUUCUAAAAAACGAAAUUAAAAGUCAUGUCAUUUUGAACCAGCCUAAAACGUUUGUAGAGGCUGAUAACUUAGCCAGGCUCCAAUCAGCAGUCUCCUCCACUUCCGUAUCUGAAAACCUUUUUCCUAGUUUGAGUAACACCCUGCAGGAGCAACAAAUAAAAGAACUUGAAUGCCUCUCAAAUACAGCAAGAAAAACCUGUCAAUGCUAUUGACACUGCGUUUCAAUCCAGUUGACCUCUUUAAUAUGGUCUUCAUGUACUCUCUACCCUAUAUUGCACAAAGCAACAGAUUUUUGCUGUCAACCUUGAAUUAGAGCCAGAAGAAAUGUCUUUACCUCUGAUCUUGGACAACUGUAGGUAGAACUUGACGCGGAGCUGAGUUUUCUUGAUAAAGGUUUGACAAGUUAAAAUAAGAUUUAUAAGGACAUGGUAGAUAAAGUGAGUUCCUCAAAAGAAUAACUGUUUGCUCUUGCUUGGGACGUUUCAAGCAGCUAAUCGAAAUGAACAAGAAUUUGCAGAAAAUGCCAAAUACUGCUCUUGGAUCAUUGGCUGAAUCUGUAACAGGGCACAAUAAUAUCCUUCUAAAGCUGGCAACACUCUGUGAUGAACUUCAAAAAUCUUUCAUUGAAGCAGAGAUGCAGGUACUCAUCUAUUCAUUUGUAAGGUUUCCCCAUGAAAGAGGGACAUGAAGCCUGUGCAGUUCCUGUAAGACUGUUGCUCUUUCGUUCUAUAUGAUACCAGAAAGUUUGGGAUUUAAGAGAUGAAAGAUGCUCUUAUUGCAAGAGAUCUGAUUCUUGUCGGCUUUGUCACUGAUAGAGAGUGGAAUUCUAUGCAAACUCGAGGAAGUUAUCACCAUGUGACAGUUAAAUAAUCAAUGACGGAUGCCAAAAAGAAAACAAAUAAGGUUCACAUUAAUGAAAUAAAGCAGUUCUUAAUAUUAUCGGAGCACCAACCAUGUCUUUUACAAGACAUGGCAUUUUUAAAUAAAUUUUGCAUGAAUUGAAAGUGCAUUGAUA